CUGAUCAUGGCGCAGCCUGAUGCAGCCAUGCCGCGUGUGUGAGAAGGCCUUCGGGUUGUAAGCACUUUCAGCGAGGAGGAAGGUGGUGAGCUUAAUACGCUCAUCAAUUGACGUUACUCGCAGAAGAAGCACCGGCUAACUCCGUGCCAGCAGCCGCGGUAAUAGA
rnacentral:rRNA from 2 species